AGAGGAGCUUCCGGCGGGGACCUGCGGGCAGCUGUCGGGGAGGAGCCGCGGGCCUGUGACCGGGCGCCUGGGAAGGGGCGGACCGUGACUGGGUGUCGGGGGGCCCUGAGGGUAACGCAGGGUGAGCCCCUCCAGUUGACGGCCUUUAGUGUUUUCAGGAGUUCUCAGUGGGAAUGUGAGGUUCUGUUGGUGGUUGUCAUGGAAGUUAACAAGUCCUCGCCCACGGGGACUGUUAGAAACAUGGAGUGCGGCGGGUUUACGUGGAUCCCUGAGCGUUUUCUGUGUCAAGAUCCACCCGCGUUCACUGCCUUUCACAAAACACGCCUGACCAUUUUGUUUCUGGAAGUCGGGCGGUUCUGCAUUUUGGGCUUUUCCCUCCACUGAUGCUGGUGCUGCCGGGAUGACGCAGGAGGCUGCAGUUCCCUGGUGCCCUGAUGAGGCGGGUUGGGAAGUGUAACACAGCUGUCACAUGAAGUGAGUUUCUGGUCUCUCCCAGGCAGUGUGUUGAGGGCUCUGGACAGGAGACUCCAGGGUCCAGGUGCCAGCUGCCUCAGUCCUCUCAUGCUGGACCCUUCCACCUCUCCCGGUGCCACUCCAGAGUCCUUAUGCAUUUCUGAGAGCAGCAGACAAUGAAUCAAUCUCGGACCUGCCUGCUCCGGACGCGCGUUCCCCCAGGCCCCGGGCCCGAGGACUCCCAGAUCCCACCCUAGCGGGAGCCUCUCACCAGAAACAGAAACCUUGGUGCAGGGGAGCGGCUCCCUUUGGCAGAAGCUGCACAGCCGCGGGGCAGCGAGUCUGAGAACCCGCGGGACCAGGUCGUGCUGGGCUAAUGAACAGCGCCCCUGGUGUUGACGCAGCGCAGGGUGACCGGGAAGCUCGGGCCCAGAGGUGAUCAUUUUUCCAAAGUCCGAGCCCUGAGCGACAGAGCACCCAUCUCCCCAGCAGGGGCAGAUUCACACCUUAAAGCAAGCAGAGGGCAGAAAAACAGGAGACUUCCAAGAGCUCACCUGGUCAUCUGGGGCGCACAAGUCAGGCUCCUGCCCAGAGAAAGUCCAUCAGUCACUCCGUGAAACUUUUAGUCUACCCUCAGGCCUUGUCCCAACAUAACUCCAGCUAAUGAGCAGGUCACAGUGGGCUGUGGCAGGAGGCACAGGCGGGUCUGCUGCAGGCUCCGGGACUCUCAGCCUUUCACCGACAGCGUCCACCGCAGCAAGAUCCUAAAAUAUCCGCAAGUCAUGAAAACAGCAAACAAGGUUGCUUGAAUUUCUGGGAAAGAUUUUUUUUUUUAAUCAUUGCUAAAAAUCCCCUUACCUGAAGCUGACAAAAAAGCAAGGCUUGGGGCCUCCCUGGUGGCGCAGGGGUGAAGCACCGCACUAUGAAACUAUCCGCAGCCUCUGCAGCACAAGAUCCAUCUGAUGGAGGACAAGAAUGGAGAGACUGGAAAGAAAGCCUCACAAGACUAAAACCUGACUCACGCAAGGAGGUGGGGGUCGAGGGGAAUCACACGACCUUUAACCCAGCUGUGGAGGUCGGACCCUCAGGCGCCAGUGCCUUGUCACAAGGCAGGAGACCUGAGCAGGAUCAGAUGGUCUAGGGAGUGGCGCACAGGCCUGAGGGGAAGGAUAUGGAGAUUGGGCCCACCCUGGAACCUCUGGUCCCUUUCUAGUGUUGCCUGUUACCCAACAUCAGCAACAAGCAGCCACUCCAUGGAGGAGUGACUCUCCCAAAGAGAAAAGGACUGUAUCGGGGCAGUCUCUGCACAGGCACGGGGCAGCACUCCCACUGCACACCCAUGACUAUGCAGGUGCCUCUUUUCACCAACUCUCUCCCUCUGCAGGGCAGCAGCCUCCUGCCUGCCAUGACCUGUCAAGACUGCCCAUCUGCAACCAUGCAGGCCUCUCUCAGCAAAACCUGUCCCUUUCCCUAAUAAACCUGCUCUUUAAAUAUAACUAAUGUCUCUGUCUCAUGGAGAAACGUGCCAGGGGAACUCACCAGGUGCCGCUGAAAUGGGAGCUCUGGGGACACCUUUGCCAGAGUGAACCCUAGAACCCGCACGCACUCUACAACCUACAACAUUAUGGCAACCACAAAGGAACUUGUCACGUCAUCUGGUGCCAACAUCACAUCCCCAGCCAGGAAGGUGACCCACAGGGUGCCGCAGACCUCUCCUGUCUCCCCGCUGCUCCCCUCAGCAGUGGAUUUCAGUCAGUCCACCUGUUCUGUCUGUGGUGAAUCCCCUUACCCCCACCCCCACACCUCUGGCCUGCACCCUAGCUCUUGUAUUCAUAAGUAAAUCAAUCUGUAAAAAAUUAAAAUAAAAUAAAGGCAUGACUAAAACAUCAUUUACCUGCAGAUCAUGAAAUGGAUCCUAUAGCAACAUUAAAAAGCAGCUGUUGGGCCUCCCCGGUGGCACAGCGGUUGAGCGCUGGGUUACGAAGCUGCCCGCAGCCUCUGCGGCGCCGGUUCGA